GUGAAUCAUCGAAUUUUUGAACGCAAAUUGCGCUUCCUGGCAUCCCGGGAAGUAUGCCUGUUUGACGGUCAGUAUUAAUAAAAAUUCGGUGUUGUUGCUGCCUUUCGUGGUGACGCGCCGGAUUUGGGUCGUCUUACCUUCGGUUAAGUGACUUAAAAUUUUUGCAUGCUUUUCGAACGUAUUUAAAUCGCUUACGUACGUUUGCGGUAUUGAAUGCUUAUUAGGUUCUGUCUUUCCCAUGAUUGG
rnacentral:misc_RNA from 1 species